UAACUUACCUGAACGGAGUCUUUACGGGUGAUCAAGUAUACAUGUGGCCCAGACUAGCGACCUUCAUUGCAGGUUGAAGGGGCGCUGGUAUACCAUCUGCCUAAGUGGUAGAGUGGACGUCAUAAUUUGUGGUAGGGGGGUUCGAGUACGCGCAACCCCUAU